AAAAAUUUUCCCCCAACAAUUUCUUCAAAAAUUUCUCCCAACCUUUCCCCCAAAUUUUCAAUUUUCAAACUUUUCAUCUUUUCAAUUCAUUUUGUACUAAAAUUUCAAACAUCAGCGGAGAAAUUUGCCUCUUCUAUUCUCUAUACAAUGCAAUCUUCUUCCAAGAGAUGGCAAUAACAAGACGCAAAGCCUACUGUUCCUCCAAAUUAAUAUUCGCUUGAUUGUGUUUAAUUUGUGAAGGUUUAAACAUUUGAUUGUGUUUAAUUUGUGAAGGCUGCAAGGAAAUUAGAUUCGACCACCGGCAAAGUGCCCCUUCGCUACCGCCCCUGAACUGUUGCUUUUAGGUUCCACAAAUUGGAACUACUUCUUAGAAGGUAUUCCCUCACUUCAUAUAAGAAUCGACAUUUCAAUUCUAGUGACUUCACAAGUUUCUGCGCAAUCACAAAACAAUGAUAUGAUAUAUGUUGUGUUCAAUUAAUUGGAUUUCGCUUGUAUGUAUGUUCCUGUAUUUCUUCUUUGUAAAUGUUCCUUAUGAAUAUCAGUUGAUGUGAAUAUAUAUGAUUAGUACUGAUUGUGACUAAUUUAUGUUUAUUGGCUUAGAAAGAGGAUUUCUCCUUGAGCGCUCCAUAUAUAAUAAUGUAAUGCUCUUUCAAAACAUAUUGUGUUUCUUGAAUUUGCCUUUUAAGUUAAUAGAAUGUUGAUUCAAAGUAAUAUAUUUUACUAUCAUUCACCAAUAUUGAAGAUAUGAUCCUUCUCUAUGAGAUUUAUCUACUUUUUGCAUAGCUGAUUGAUCAAGUUAUGAACUUAUAUUUAUCACAUUACCAACAAUUUCUCUUGGACCCUUUCUCUGAUGAUUAGCUUACCAGAUUCUUCAUGCUGCCAAAUGCAAAUGAAUUCAUUGCAGGAAACAACUCAAAGAUUGUAAGGCCUUUCUAAUUUGUUCAAUAUGCAGAAUGCGCAGGCAAUCCCCCUUCACUAAUAAUGUUGAUUCAAAAUUUUCUCUCAAUUUUGAGCUAAUGUUGAUUCUUCUUUUCACUGUACAGAAGCUGCUACAUGAAAUAAUGGAGCAUUUUCUCUAAGUUGUGGGCAAAAUCAUGACAACUAGUGAAUGUAAAAUAGAAUUGGAUGUCUAUGCUAUGCAUUGUUUAUUUGAUUGUAUAUAAUUAGAAUGCAAUUAUAAAAUAUGUUGAGAUCGCUAAGCUGAUUUCAAAUAUGAAAAUAUUAGUUAGAAUAAAAAAGGUAACUAAUAUCUUCACAUAUUAUUAUGAUCAAUCUUGGUUUAUGCUUUUCUAUUGAUUUUUUAGUUCCUAUAUUAAUUUUCUAUGGAUGUGAUGAUUUCUCCUUUAUUUGAUAUAUACAGAAUCUCUAUCAAGCACAGGCUUCGCUCCUCAGACUUACAUGCAUCGAGGAAUCGCCUUAAAGGAUCUGAUUCGCUUGUGGCUAAGCUUUGUGGGAUUGAGAAGGUCGCGUGGCGUGGGAGAGGUACUUGGCCCUUUUAGGCAGGCAUGAGAGGCUCACAUUCUAAAGAAACAACUUCAAAUAUGUUGAGCACUUUUGGAAGGAUUAACACUUUAUAAUUUUUACUACUAGUAUUGCUUGUGUAGUUUAAGUCAAAGAUGACCAACACUUAAUAUUGUUUAGUUUGUGUGUUCAAACACGUUACAUUUUUGUGUAAAAUCAUUUGAUGGUUUGAAUAUUAUUCAAAUAGUUGUCAUUUUA